UGGCGGACGGGGGAGUAACGCGUGGGUAACCUGCCUCAUACAGGGGGAUAACAGUUAGAAAUGACUGCUAAUACCGCAUAAGACCACAGCACCGCAUGGUGCAGGGAUAAAAAACUCCGGUGGUAUGAGAUGGACCCGCGUCUGAUUAGGUAGUUGGUGGGGUAACGGCCUACCAAGCCGACGAUCAGUAGCCGACCUGAGAGGGUGACCGGCCACAUUGGGACUGAGACACGGCCCAA
rnacentral:rRNA from 1 species